GCCUUCGUGGUGUAGUGGUUAGCUCGCUCGACCGGCAUUCGAGAGGUCCGUGGUUCGAUUCCCGGCGAAGGCA
rnacentral:tRNA from 1 species